CACGUACUAUCAGAGUUUGAUCCUGGCUCAGGAUGAACGCUAGCUACAGGCUUAACACAUGCAAGUCGAGGGGUUUCAAAGGAGCUUGCUUCUUUGGAACGACCGGCGCACGGGUGAGUAACGCGUAUCCAACCUGCCCUUCAUAUUGGUAUAGCCUCCCGAAAGGGAGAUUAAUCCCGAAUAACAUAUUUUGGUUUCCUGAUCAGAAUAUGAAAGCUCCGGCGAUGAAGGAUGGGGAUGCGUUCCAUUAGGUAGUAGGCGGGGUAACGGCCCACCUAGCCGACGAUGGAUAGGGGUUCUGAGAGGAAGGUCCCCCACACUGGAACUGAGACACGGUCCAG
rnacentral:rRNA from 1 species